AUGGUAACAUCUAUAAAUAUACUUUAGUCUCUGCUUGUAUGGAUCCACAUCUGUGUUUCAUCUUGUUUCAAUCAUUCUCAUUUUACUCCUCCUCUUGCAGUAAUCAAACACUUUUUUGCCUUGAUUUCAGUUUGAACCAACAAUGGCCGAAGCAAUUGCUUUCGACAUCGCCACAGAGCUCAUUACUAAGUUGAGCUCUCGUGCGCUCUCCCAAGUUGGACGGUGCUGGAAUCUCAAACAUGACAUCGAUGACCUCAAACGCACUAUCCGUACAAUCAAAGCUGUGCUUCUUGACGCAGAAGAGAAAUCGGUGACCGACAAUCUCGUCAAAGUUUGGCUUGAAGAGCUGAAAGAUGUACUUUAUGAUGCUGACGACUUACUCGAUGAUUUCUCUACCGAAGCUUUGCGGAAAGAUCUAAUGGGUGGGAGCAAGCUGACGAAAGAGGGAAAAAAGUUGCGAACCUUGUUACGGUCUCCAAACAUGGGAACUGGUUUGAGCCAAGAAACUUGGGAUUUUGUAAUUGCAAAUUGUAGAUGCUUGCGUGUAUUGGAAUUGAAUUGUUUAGAUAUUCAGAAGAUUUCACCCUCCAUUUACAAGUUGAAACAUUUGAGAUACCUUGAUCUUUCUGCGAAUUUCAAAAUUAAGAUUCUCCCAAAGAGUAUUUGCAAGAUUCAGAAUUUGCUGGCGCUGAAACUUGAUAGGUGUUAUGCGCUUCAAGAAUUGCCAAAGAAGAUUGAAAAAUUGGUGAAUCUUAUCCAUCUUGGGUGUGACCGUUGUUACUGCUUAACUCAAAUGCCACGUGGAAUAGGGAAGCUGACUUCACUUGAGACAUUAAGCGCGUUUGUAGUGGAUGAAGAUGGGUCCCAUGGUGGUGCAGAUCUAAGUGAAUUGAGACUGCUUAACAACUUAAGGGGAGAGCUUAAAAUAGAAAAUUUGGGAUUCGUAAAAAAUGCAAAAGAGAAGUUUAAGGCUGCUAAUUUGAAAGAGAAGCAACAUUUGAGAUCGUUGGUUUUACAAUGGGAUGCUUAUAACGGUGAUGAUGAUGAUGUGAAGUCACUUGAAGACCUCCAACCCCAUCCUAAUCUCAAGGAGCUCUAUGUGAAAGGAUGGGAGGGUGAUGCCAAGUUUCCAAGCUGGCUUUCUUUACUCACAAAUCUCGUCGAAAUUACCAUACGUGAUGGUAAUUUCAAACAUUUCCCUUCCUUUGCUCAAUUGUGUUGUCUUCAAGAGCUGGAGAUUAAAGAUUGUACUGAACUGGAGUACAUGGACGAUAAUAGCCCAAAAGGAAGUCAAGGAGAACCACAAUCAUUUUUCCCAUCGCUUAAGGUUCUCAGGCUCUUCGACUGCCCGAAUUUGAAGAGUUGGUGGAAACCAAUCGAUGAUGAUUCCAACGAGGACGACACAACUGUUAUGGGAACGUCAACCAUGGCAUUCCCUUGUCUUUCCUCUUUAAAAAUUUCAUAUUGCCCUUUGACUUCAAUGCCGUUGUAUCCUUCACUCAAUGAUAAGCUAAAGUUGGUGAAUACCAGUUCAAGGCCGUUAAAGCAGACCAUGAAGAUGAACAUCACUAGCACGACCCCAUCAAGUUCAACCGCUUCUCUUCCUCUCUCCAAAUUGAAAUAUUUCAUUGUAAACAACAUUGAGGGAUUGGACACUCACACGCUAGAUGAGUGCCUGCAACAUCUCACUGGCCUUGAAACUUUAGAAAUAAGGAAUUGCAAGGAGGUUGAUUUAGAGAGCUUACAAUGGGAACUCAUUAAGAAUCUCUCUUAUUUGGAGAUUGAUAAGAUCCCGCAGCUGGUGUCUCUCCCCCGUGGGCUUCAACAUCUUGUUCAAUUGAAAACAUUAAGAAUUCGUAAUUGCAGUGGAUUGAGGUCACUCUUUCCUGUGUUCCAACAUCUCACUUCCCUUGAAGACUUUUCAGUAAGCAACUGCAAGGAGCUGGAGUUAUCUGCAGCUGGCAUCCAAAUAUUCCAAGAUCAUACAAGCCUACGCUCUCUAUCGCUGGAAACUAUUCCAGAGUGUCGGCAUCUUCCGGAGUCGCUUCAACAUCUAACCAAUCUGCAGAAGCUUUAUCUCAAGCAUUUGCCCAAUUUAACAUCGCUUCCGGACGAGAUGCAUUGCCUAACCAAUUUGCAAAUUUUAUGGAUAGAAAGAAUUCCUCAGUUGAAGGAAAGAUGUCGGAAGGACAUUGGCGCUGAUUGGCAUAAGAUUGCUCACAUCCCCAACAUUCGGUUGUAUUAGUAAGGCAUUGGAGAAAGGCAUUUGUGAACUUCAAUCAUUUUAUAUGCAUAAAAAGAGGCUUUUGGAGGUUUCAAAUUCAUAAUAUUCAUUGAUGUAGGGCACUCUAUUAGCUGUUUGGAAUUCCAGCCAAAUUUGUUAUUGAAGGUCCAAACUGGAAAAAAAAGGAAGAUGUUUCAGAAUAUUUGGUGGUGAGGUUGAAGUUGAUAAAAUGUUUCAUUAUUUAUAUAUCAACAGCACUAUACUAAACACACAUAUGUACAAAUAUAAGGCUGAUAAUAAUGGGAUUUGUAACAUAUUCUAUGUUGGCAUUUAUAAUUUUCAGAUUCACUGAUGCUUUUAGAAGAGACGUUGUUCAAGCAUGACAAUUGCCAGACAUAUUGCAUUUGAAAAUUUAUUAUUCCACUUUAUUUGGAGCUUAUUAAGAGCUUGAUUCAUAGUAGGAAAACCAUCUGAGUGUUGAAUGUGAAUUUUCACUUGCAUAGCUAAAAUGAGUUGGGAGAGAAUUUACUUAAUUGUACAAAAGUGAUAUUGCAUCAAGUGUUCGAAGGGUUAGGCUUAAAUCAUUUCUUUGUACUAUGAAGUUCAUAGUGGUUCAUCUUUGGGCAAAGCUCCGCAGACGUAGGACAAGUUUUGAACUGCGUAAACAUCUUAAUUGUACUCUUUAUUUUUCUUAUUGCAUAAUAAGUGCCAAAUCAGGAAAAAACACAUUUAUGUUUUUAUAGGGUUCCAAACAGUAUUCAAAUGAAGGGAUGCACAAUUGAUUAUGAGACAACAAUUAAAAAGGCUAUGUGCAAUUAUAAUGCUUGGAUUAGGACUCUCCCAAAAGAUGUCGAUUUCCUGGCUGUAUAUACAUAUGACUUGUCUGUUGAUGCUUAUGUUGGCACACAUUAAAUUACAAGUUGAAUAACACCUUGUAAUUUGUUCUUGUCGUUUAAACAAAACACAA